GCGGCGGGAGAUGAGUCCGAGAGUUAGAGCAAAAACUUCUGAAAUAUGGGAGUAUUUAAUAUUUCAGGCCAACUGUUAAAAGAGUUGUCUGUACACUCUGUCAAACUUCACUCGGAAACACACAGGAGUUGUUCAAGAAGUUUGGAGCGUUUAUUUUCUCUCCUCCGUAUCUCCUCCGGGGCUCCAAAGAUGCGCUCACAGAAAAGAAGAAGACAACAAAGCAGUACACCGUCUUCACAACUCUGAGACAAACUGUAGCAGGCGCUACGAACCGGAGCAAGGACUAACCUCGCCUCAUAACGAGGCCGUGA